AUGAACAUUAUUUUCCAUCUCCUUCACUCUGCUCAACCAGAGUUGGGACUGACUGUAGUUUUAACUGCCAGAUACAGUGAAGACCAAAAUUAUAAUAGGAUUCUGAAUUCUGAUGAGAAGUUAAAAGCUGAUGAACCCUUAGAAACAGUCAGAUACGGGAGAAAGCCGGAUCAACAAUGGCCCUCUCAAAAUACAAAGAAAACUACACCUAUGAUUUAA